GAGGAUUGCUCCGACGCGGGGCCCCUGAGCAGCACCCGCCUGUCCCAGCUGGGUGAGCUGGAACCGGGGAACAGCCACGGGUCUGGGGGGGCCCCAGCGUGGCCGGGCUGUCCCCCGCCCGCCUCCGUCCCCUCCUUCCCCCUGUGCCCCCCCAGGGGCUCGGCUUUCCCCCCGCAGCCCCUCGCCUCCAGCACCCUGCUGUGUGCUGGGGAUGAGCCUGGGCAGGGAACCCCGAGAGGGAUGGGGACGGGGGGGGGCCCCAAGCCCAGAACUGGGGCCAGGAGCCCCCCCCAGCCCCUGGGUUGCAGAGGGGCUGGGGGCCGUGACUGCAGCAGCCUCGGGGAGGAGGACAGCAGCAUGGCCAGCGAGUGCUUCGUCACCGCGGUGGAGACGUUGGAGCCCAGCGAGGCCGGGGGGGGCCAGGGCGAAGCAGGACCCCAGGAGCUGCCCCCCCGGAGCCCCCCAGUUGUGGAGGAGCUGCCUGCGCUGCUCCGAGGCUGCACCCUCGGGGGCUCCCCUCCUGGCACCCCAAGGACCCCUCGCAGCCCGGCCGGUCUCGCUGCAGGGGGUGGCACCUUGCAGCCCCCCCAGUUCUGCCACGUCACCCCCCGCACCAAGAGCCGCCUCCAGGCCUCAGCGGAGCGGCUUGGCGCCUCCUCUUCCUCUUCCUCCCUCUUUGACACCACCCUGGAGAUGCCCCGGAGGCCCCCCAGGGUCAGAGCACCCAGGGGUGUCCCUGGGGACACCGCCCCCACCCUGGGGCACCGCGUCGCCCUUGGGGGUGCGGAUGUGUCUGGGGGGGACGGAGAAGGCACGGCUUCCCUGGAUGACACCCAGAUCCUCCCCAGGACCCCCACCCAGCCCAGCUCCCCCCUGGGGGGCAGCAGCUCCAGCCCCACAGUGCUGCUGGGUCCUGGGGACCGCGCCCCCCCCCAGGACUCCCCGUCAGACCCUCGGGGCUCCUCCAGCUCCAUCUCCACGGUGCUGCUGGGUCCUGGGGACCAAAGAUCCCCCCACAACCCCCCAUCGGAUCCUCAGGGCCCCCCCAGCUCCAGCCCCACGGUGCUGCUGGGUCCUGGGGACCGCGACCCCUUCCAGGACUCCCCCCACGUCACCAACCCCAGGGUGCUGGAGCCGGGGAGCCCACCGGUGCCACCCUCACCCACCAUCUGCGUCCCCCAUCGCGCCGUGGAGCACGAGGGACGGGUGCCCAGCGAGCGGCACAGCCCCGGUCCAGAAGCCACCAGCCCUGGGGACACCGCGGUCCCCAAGGGGCGAGCACGGGUCCCACGGGUGCUCUCCGACGAGGCGCUCCGCCGGCGGCUGCGGGUGCUGGGGGAGGACCCCGCGCCCAUCACGGAGUUCACCCGGCGCGUCUACCUGCGGCGCCUGGAGAAGCUGAGCCGCAGCCCCGAGGGUGAG
rnacentral:lncRNA from 1 species